rnacentral:lncRNA from 1 species
CUCCCCAGACUUAUUCUCAGACUCCUAUUUAUAGGUGAAUUUUUUAUAUUUUUUUGAUAGAAAAAGGAGUCCUAAGAUCCUUAGAAAUUAUAUUAAUCUCCUGAGAAAUAUUUCUGAACCACCCAGAUUUGCCCGAAAAAUCAAUGUUUUAAUCCGAAUCAAAGUCGGAUCGAAUGUCAGCCGUCCGAUCACACCUAAGAUUGGCUCAAGCCAUCGGAUCGCAUAGAAGGGUCUUAUUCAAAGUCGGCAAUGACUCUGGACCG